UCAGAGAACAGGGCACACAGUAGUUGAUCAUAGGCUACUUCAUAUGUAUUUCUUAGUUAUCGGGUUAGAUCAUGAACUCAUUUCUGGCACGUCACUUUAACACAAUUAAACUUCAGCCCCGACAAAACAGGCUGUAGGUGAAUAGCCAACAACUUCAACAUGUAGACCUAAAGUAACAGGAGUUCAAACAGGAAAGUGUGGAUGAUAGCGCUGGUGCAUUGAUAGAGGGCGCCAGUUACCUUUCUAAGAAACCGACCGUUGCAUUUGGAGAGUGCGCAGAGUUCAUGCAGCUGUACCACAGUACCAUCGACAAGCUCACGCGCAGUUUACACAAUGGGGAGAAGAAGAAGAUGAAGAAGAAGAACCAAGGCUUUCGCCUCACGUGUAGAAGCACCAUCUCUGAAUAUCACGAUUAAAUUCAAAUUAGCGGAUACUUCUUGGAGGCAUGCCUGUUUUGCAUUUUCAAGACCCUCUCCAGCAAUGAUUACCCUACACAUUACUUUAAUGGCUUCACAUCCUUGUAAUGCUUUCUUUAAAUUAAGGUUAAUUCCCGUGCUCAAAAUUUUUCCAUGUUUAUAAGCAAAUUAAUUUGUGCAGAAUUAAGACUUCCUGUGUAAAUUAUGCUAUGCCAUUCACCGCGACGCCUUCAGAGAAAGAGAGAGGUGAUUCCAUUUCUAAUGGAGAGGCUCUCGACUGCAUCCGACGAUCCAUUACUCCAUGCGGCGAGUCAAGGACACAUUGUGUGAGGCCCUUGUGACAAGCAAGGCGGAAAGCAGCCGUGAUGAGAUUUCUCCAAGCUGUAAUAGGAGACCUCACUGUCACCAGUAGGCAGAUAACUAUAAACAUGCCUUACCUCUAGGGGUGGCAAGCCAGGCUCUCAGACACAGAAAAAAGAAA